rnacentral:rRNA from 1 species
GACGAACGCUGGCGGCGUGCUUAACACAUGCAAGUCGAGCGGAAAGGCCUGCUUUCCCUUGUGGAUUGCGGGUACUCGAGUGGCGAACGGGUGAGUAACACGUGAGUGAUCUGCCACCAACUUGGGUAUAAGCCUGGGAAACUGGGUCUAAUUCCCGAUAGGACUGCAGGGUGGUGCCUGUGGUGGAAAACGAUUUUCUAGUGGUUGGGGAUGAGCUCGCGGCCUAUCAGCUUGGUGGUGGGGUAAUGGCCUACCAAGGCGGCGACGGGUAGCCGGCCUGGGAGGGUGGACGGCCACAUUGGGACUGAGAUACGGCCCAGACUCCUACGGGAGGCAGCAGUGGGGAAUAUUGCACAAUGGGCGGAAGCCUGAUGCAGCGACGCCGCGUGGGGGAUGACGGCCUUCGGGUUGUAAACUCCUUUCGACCGCGAGGAAGCCACCUGGUUGGAAGGGUGGUGACGGUAGUGGUAGAAGAAGCACCGGCUAACUACGUG